CAACACAAGAAAACAGAGAAGGAGAGAGGGGGGGCGGAGGUGUGACUAUAGCAUUACGAAUACUGACCACAUCACACCAUAACACACACACAAACAAAAAGAGCGAGGUGGGUGUUUCCACCAGUACGGUAUAUGUAACCCACCGUCAGAAACGUAACCCCUGACACUUCCACCACCUUUCACAGAUUCAUUACGACGUUUACCAGACCAAUCAGUACGACCUCCGACCCGUCUCCCUACUUUAGUGCCUAGCUGUGAAUGUUUGUCUGUCAGUCAGUCAUUUAUUAAUGAAUUCAGUCAAUCAGUCAGUCAAUAUGUCCAUGUUCCAGUCCAGGACCGUCUCGCUGGCACUCCUGAUCACCAUGUGUGUGUACCUCUCCUCUGUCUCUGCCAACUAUCGUCGGCCCAGUAAGGUGACCACAAACUGCUGCACAAGUGUGUCUGACACUCCCAUAAAAUCUGAACUGCAAGGAUACGCAUCCAAAACUCCAUGCCACCCUGUGUUAAUGCCAUCAUCUUCUACACAGUGAAAGGUGAGAAGAUCUGCUCUGAUCCCAAAACACUCUGGGUCGACAGGAGAAAGAAAGGUAAAG